UUGGACCUCACAGCCACUACAAUGGAUGCAGAUUUCAGCCAAUGGAUUAUGAAGCACUACGACCCCGAGAGGUCCCAAAUUGUUAUACCAAAGAGGGGGAAGAUCCUGGUAGAUGCAGCGAGCGUGCAUAGAAUAUGGGGGUUGCCAAACAGGGGCAGAAAUGUCUGUUUUGAGAAUCGUCCUAACAUCAAAAGGCCAUUUAUAGCAUCUAAAACAGUACAUCCAAGAACUCACCAACCCUCACAUCAUGGUGUAAGAUGA
rnacentral:rRNA from 1 species